GAUGAACGCUGGCGGCGUGCCUAAUACAUGCAAGUCGAGCGAACAGACGAGGAGCUUGCUCCUCUGACGUUAGCAACGGACGGGUGAGUAGCACGUGGAUAACCUACCUCUAAGGCUUAAGUAACGUCGGGAAGCCGGAGCUCAUACCGGGUGAUAUAUUGAGCCGGAUGGUUCAAUAGUGAAAGCGGGUUAUGCUGACACUUCGAGCUAGCUGCGCGCGGCAUUAGCAAGUUGGUACGGUAACGGCUUACCAAGGCAACGAUGCGUAGCCGACCUGAGAGGGUGAUGGCGCCCACUGGAAGUGAGACACGGUCCAGACUCCUACGGGAGGCAGCAGUAGCGAAUCGUGCGCAAUGGGCGAAAUCCUGACGGAGCAACGCCGCGUUAGUGAUGAAGGUCUGCGUAUCGUAAAACUCUGUUAUUAUUGAAGAACAAAUGUGUAAGUAACUAUGCAUGUUGUGACGGUACCUAAUCAGAAAGCCACGGCUAACUACGUG
rnacentral:rRNA from 1 species